UCCUUCGGAUCAGUUGACAUCACAGACGUCUGCUUGCUUUUUUUUACAGACCAUUUAGAUUCUGAUUUAUACAGAAAAGAAACAGUGUUGAAGAUGUAAUAUGUCUGCAUAUCCUUUGCAUGGAAAAUGGCUGCUAGAGAGAGGUUUCUUCACUCUGCUGAGUGCCUGUCAGGGUGAUCUGCCUGAAGUCAAGUAGACAGGAAGAUCCUGAAAUGUUAACAAGGAGAAGAAUCCUGUGCAAAUCUCUCUAUAAGAAACAAAGUGAACACUGCUGAGGUGAAAGUGAAAGUGAAAACCUUUAUAAGAAGCUGUAAGGCCUGAGAGAGGUAAAACUGGGGUGCAAGUCUCAAGACAGUUUCGCUUGUAAGUCUAAGACUUCCAUCUACAAUUCAACUGAGAACACCCACGUUUGAAUAAGCACGAGAUUGUAAAUAUAUUCUUCUCAGUUAUAUGUUUUGGAAAGCAAAGUUCUUUUGAAUAUAAAGAGUCUGGACAUGG